AGGUGGCCUGUGAGGGUUGCUGGAGGUAUCAGAAGUGCGAAUGCUGACAUAAGUAACGAUAAAGCGGGUGAAAAGCCCGCUCGCCGGAAGACCAAGGGUUCCUGUCCAACGUUAAUCGGGGCAGGGUGAGUCGACCCCUAAGGCGAGGCCGAAAGGCGUAGUCGAUGGGAAACGGGUUAAUAUUCCCGUACUUGGUGUUACUGCGAAGGGGGGACGGAGAAGGCUAUGUUGGCCGGGCGACGGUUGUCCCGGUUUAAGCGUGUAGGUGUGUGUUCCAGGUAAAUCCGGUUCACUUUAACACUGAGGCGUGACGACGAGGCACUACGGUGCUGAAGCAACAAAUGCCCUGCUUCCAGGAAAAGCCUCUAAGCAUCAGGUAACAUCAAAUCGUACCCCAAACCGACACAGGUGGU
rnacentral:rRNA from 1 species